AGCGAACGCUGGCGGCAGGCCUAACAUAUGCAAGUCGAACGGAUCCUUCGGGAUUAGUGGCGGACGGGUGAGUAACACGUGGGAACGUGCCCUUUGGUUCGGAACAACUCAGGGAAACUUGAGCUAAUACCGGAUGUGCCCUUCGGGGGAAAGAUUUAUCGCCAUUGGAGCGGCCCGCGUCUGAUUAGCUAGUUGGUGAGGUAAAGGCUCACCAAGGCGACGAUCAGUAGCUGGUCUGAGAGGAUGAUCAACCACAUUGGGACUGAGACACGGCCCAAACUCCUACGGGAGGCAGCAGUGGGGAAUCUUGCGCAAUGGGCGAAAGCCUGACGCAGCCAUGCCGCGUGAAUGAUGAAGGUCUUAGGAUUGUAAAAUUCUUUCACCGGGGACGAUAAUGACGGUACCCGGAGAAGAAGCCCCGGCUAACUUCGUGCCAGCCGCCGCCGUAAAAC
rnacentral:rRNA from 1 species